rnacentral:rRNA from 1 species
GAUGAACGCUGGCGGCGUGCCUAAUACAUGCAAGUCGAGCGAACAGACGAGGAGCUUGCUCCUCUGACGUUAGCGGCGGACGGGUGAGUAACACGUGGAUAACCUACCUAUAAGACUGGGAUAACUUCGGGAAACCGGAGCUAAUACCGGAUAAUAUAUUGAACCGCAUGGUUCAAUAGUGAAAGACGGUUUUGCUGUCACUUAUAGAUGGAUCCGCGCCGCAUUAGCUAGUUGGUAAGGUAACGGCUUACCAAGGCGACGAUGCGUAGCCGACCUGAGAGGGUGAUCGGCCACACUGGAACUGAGACACGGUCCAGACUCCGACGGGAGGCAGCAGUAGGGAAUCUUCCGCAAUGGGCGAAAGCCUGACGGAGCAAAGCCGCGUGAGUGAUGAAGGUCUUCGGAUCGUAAAACUCUGUUAUUAGGGAAGAACAAAUGUGUAAGUAACUAUGCACGUCUUGACGGUACCUAAUCAGAAAGCCACGGCUAACUACGUG